rnacentral:rRNA from 1 species
AGUGAACGCUGGCGGUAGGCCUAACACAUGCAAGUCGAACGGCAGCACAGUAAGCUCUUGCUCUUACGGGUGGCGAGUGGCGGACGGGUGAGGCAUACAUCGGCUUCUUCUUUUUCGGGGGGGAUAACGUAGGGCAACUUACGCUAAUACCGCAUACGACCUACGGGUUAAAUCAGGAGUUCUUCGCACCUUGCGCGAUUGAUUGAGCCGAUGUCGGAUUAGCUAGUUGGCGGGGUAAAGGCCCACCAAGGCGACGAUCCGUAGCUGGUCUGAGAGGAUGAUCAGCCACACUGGAACUGAGACACGGUCCAGACUCCUACGGGAGGCAGCAGUGGGGAAUAUUGGACAAUGGGCGCAAGCCUGAUCCAGCCAUACCGCGUGGGUGAAGAAGGCCUUCGGGUUGUAAAGCCCUGUUGUUGGGAAAGAAAAGCAGCAGGUGAAUACCCCGCUGUUCUGACGGUACCCAAAGAAUAAGCACCGGCUAACUUCGUG